rnacentral:rRNA from 1 species
GUGAGGAAUAUUGCGCAAUGGAGGCAACUCUGACGCAGCCAUGCCGCGUGCAGGAAGAAGGCGCUACGCGUUGUAAACUGCUUUUAACCGGGAAGAAACCCCAGGACGUGUCCUGGGUUGACGGUACCGGAGGAAUAAGCACCGGCUACUUCGUGCCAGCAGCCGCGGUAAUACGAAGGGUGCAAGCGUUAUCCGGAUUCAUUGGGCUUAAAGGGUGCGUAGGCGGAGCGUUAAGUCAGUGGUGAAAUCCUGCAGCUUAACUGUAGACUUGCCAUUGAUACUGGCGCUCUUGAGUGCGCUUGAAGUGGGCGGAAUGUGCCGUGUAGCGGUGAAAUGCUUAGAUAUGGCACAGAACACCAAUUGCGAAGGCAGCUCACUAAGGCGAUACUGACGCUGAGGCACGAAAGCGUGGGGAUCGAACAGGAUUAGAAACCCUAGUAGUCC